GUACAAGGUAACGAAUGGCGAAACGAAGGGCUAAAUAGAUUUUCCAUGCCUCGGGAAACUGGUCGAGAUAGAUUAGAUGACAACACCCUUUUCCUCUCUUCCUUACCGGGAGGGCAAUCUUAGCCUUCACCUCCCGCCCGGCCCAGAAAUAGAACCCAGCCCCCUCUUCUAAUCCAUUCAUUUCUGGAAGCAGGGGAUCCAGAGCUAAUCCUCCCGUCUAUUGCAUAACCUAAAAAAGCUAGAAGCCAAGUACUUAAGGUGCGUACAAGGUAACACGUUCAAGGGAGAGAGGAGAAGAAUAAGAAGAAGAUGUCUUGGAGCAGAAGUCGAGAAUAAAGGAAGAAUUUAAGUUUAUGGGACAGUUUGUUGGGAUAAACUUAAAUUUUAGAGAUUUAUUAUUUUAUUAGGUUUGGGUAUAGUAAUAUUUGGUUUGAUUUAAUAGAGAUAAAAGAGGAAUGAGUAGUUAUGAUUUUGUGUUUAUUAGAUAGAAUAUUAUUUUAUGAUAGAAUAAGG
rnacentral:lncRNA from 1 species